rnacentral:rRNA from 1 species
UAAAAAAAGCGUAAUAGCUCACUGGUCGAGUCGGCCUGCGCGGAAGAUGUAACGGGGCUAAACCAUGCACCGAAGCUGCGGCAGCGGACGUAUCACUUAAAACGCUUCACGCGACGGCGAGCCGGCGCGUGCAAGCCACAUUCCCGUUGAGUCGGCGACAGCCGGACACGGGCCAGGCGUUUUAAGGAUACGUCCGUUGGGUAGGGGAGCGUUCUGUAAGCCUGCGAAGGUGGCCUGUGAUGGCUGCUGGAGGUAUCAGAAGUGCGAAUGCUGACAUAAGUAACGAUAAAGCGGGUGAAAAGCCCGCUCGCCGGAAGACCAAGGGUUCCUGUUCAACGUUAAUCGGAGCAGGGUGAGUCGACCCCUAAGGCAAGGCCGAAAGGCGUAGUCGAUGGGAAACAGGUUAAUAUUCCUGUACUGGGUGUGACUGCGAAGGGGGGACGGAGAAAGCUAGGUUCGCCGGGCGACGGUUGUCCCGGUUCAAGCGUGCAGGUGGAAAGAGCAGGCAAAUCCGCUCUUUCAUAACACUGAGGCGUAAUGACGAGCCACCACGGUGGUGAAGGAAUUGAUGCUACGCUUCCAGGAAAAGCCUCUAAGCUCCAGGUCACAUCGAAUCGUACCCCAAACCGACACAGGUGGUCAGGUAGAGAAUACCCAGGCGCUUGAGAGAACUCGGGUGAAGGAACUAGGCAAAAUGGUGCCGUAACUUCG